rnacentral:rRNA from 1 species
GGGGGGGCAAGCGUUUGUUUCGGAAUUACUGGGCGUAAAGGGCGCGCAGGCGGGCGGGAAAGUCUCUCGUGAAAUCCCACGGCUCAACCGUGGAACUGCGGGAGAUACUACUCGUCUUGAGUCCGGGAGAGGAGUGUGGAAUUCCCAGUGUAGCGGUGAAAUGCGUAGAUAUUGGGAGGAACACCGGUGGCGAAGGCGGCACUCUGGACCGGUACUGACGCUGAGGCGCGAAAGCUAGGGGAGCAAACGGGAUUAGAUACCCGGUAGUCCUAGCUGUAAACGCUGAGCACUUGGUGUAGCGGGUAUCGACCCCCUGCUGUGCCGAAGCUAACGCAUUAAGUGCUCCGCCUGGGGAGUACGGUGCAAGGCUG